rnacentral:rRNA from 1 species
AGAGUUUGAUCCUGGCUCAGGAUUAACGCUGGCGGCAUGCCUAAUACAUGCAAGUCGAACGGAUGUACUUGUACAUCAGUGGCGAACGGGUGAGUAAUAUAUAGGUAACUUACCCCUAAGUCUGGUAUAACUACUGGAAACGGUUCGUAAUACCGGGUAGGAUAUUUACACACAUGUGUUUAUAUUUAAAGGUGCCUUCAAGCAUCGCUUAGGGAGAGGCCUGUAUCGCAUUAGCUAGUUGGUGAGGUAACGGCUCACCAAGGCGACGAUGCGUAACUGUGCUGAGAGGCAAAACAGUCACAUUGGAACUUAGACACGGUCCAAACUCCUACGGGAGGCAGCAGUAGGGAAUUUUCGGCAAUGGGGGCAACCCUGACCGAGCAAUGCCGCGUGAAUGAAGAAGAUCUUCGGAUUGUAAAAUUCUGUUAUUGGGGAAGAAAAAUAUGCAUAGGAAAUGAUGUAUAUCUGACGGUACCUGAUGAGGAAGCCCCGGCUAACUAUGUGCCAGCAGCCGCGGUAAUACAUAGGGGGCAAGCGUUAUCCGGAAUUAUUGGGCGUAAAGCGUGCGUAGGCGGUUUAUUAAGUCUGAUGUGAAAGCCCACAGCUUAACUGUGGAAUGUCAUUGGAAACUGGUAAACUAGAGUACGGUAGAGGUAAGUGGAAUUCCAAGUGGAGCGGUGGAAUGCGUAGAGAUUUGGAGGAACACCAGUGGCGAAGGCGGCUUACUGGGCCGGAACUGACGCUGAGGCACGAAAGCGUGGGGAGCAAACAGGAUUAGAUACCCUGGUAGUCCACGCCGUAAACGUUGAGCACUAAGUACUGGGAGUUAAAUUUCGGUGCUGCAGUUAACACAUUAAGUGCUCCGCCUGGGGAGUACGGUCGCAAGACUGAAACUCAAAGGAAUUGACGGGGACCCGCACAAGCGGUGGAGCAUGCGGUUUAAUUCGAUGCAACGCGAAGAACCUUACCAGGUCUUGACAUCUGAUUGCCAGGACUAGAGAUAGUCCCUUUCUUCGGAAC